rnacentral:rRNA from 1 species
GGAGGGUGCGAGCGUUGUCCGGAAUCACUGGGCGUAAAGGGCGCGUAGGCGGCACAGUAAGUAGGUGGUGAAAUCUCACGGCUCAACCGUGAAACGGCCUCCUAAACUGCUGAGCUCGAGCACGGUAGAGGCAGAUGGAAUUCCCGGUGUAGCGGUGGAAUGCGUAGAUAUCGGGAAGAACACCAGUGGCGAAGGCGGUCUGCUGGGCCGUUGCUGACGCUGAGGCGCGACAGCGUGGGGGGGAGCAAACAGGAUUAGAUACCCUGGUAGUCCACGCCGUAAACGAUGGGUACUAGGCGUCGGGGGGGAGCGACCCCCUUCGGUGCCGUCGCUAACGCAGUAAGUACCCCCGCCUGGGGAGUACGGCCGCAAGGCUG